UGAGGAAUAUUGGACAAUGGGCGCAAGCCUGAUCCAGCCAUGCCGCGUGCAGGAUGGCGGUCCUAUGGAUUGUAAACUGCUUUUGUACAGGAAGAAACAGUUCUACGUGUAGAACCUUGACGGUACUGUAAGAAUAAGGAUCGGCUAACUCCGUGCCAGCAGCCGCGGUAAUACGGAGGAUCCAAGCGUUAUCCGGAAUCAUUGGGUUUAAAGGGUCCGUAGGCGGUUAGAUAAGUCAGUGGUGAAAGCCCAUCGCUCAACGGUGGAACGGCCAUUGAUACUGUCUGACUUGAAUUAUUAGGAAGUAACUAGAAUAUGUAGUGUAGCGGUGAAAUGCUUAGAGAUUACAUGGAAUACCAAUUGCGAAGGCAGGUUACUACUAAUGGAUUGACGCUGAUGGACGAAAGCGUGGGUAGCGAACAGGAUUAGAUACCCACGUAGUCCCUGAGCGGGCUGGCAAGGCGCAU
rnacentral:rRNA from 1 species